rnacentral:lncRNA from 1 species
AAUGCCUGAUAUGAUCGCUGUGAUUAUAGAGAAGAACAAAUUCUGAUUCCCAUUUUCUAGAUAAGAGUGAUGCCGUCUUCUUUCCUUGUGAGUUUUUGAAAACAUGAAAAUAAAAGGUAAUUGCAGUGGUAGCCAAAUGGUUUGAUCUUCCAUGUAUAUUUGGAGAUUGUAUACCCGAAAAAUUGGAUAGAGUUAAAUUUGUAUAUGAUUCUAAGGAUACGUGAUAUAACUUGGUACAAAUCGCAGAGUGAAAUAGAAAUAUAUAUAUUUUUUGACAGAUGGAAUGAAACAUAAGGCAGAGAAAAAGGAAAUGUUGAUGAACAAGGCAAAGUAAAUGAGCCCAAAAGUGUUGAUCUCUCAGAAGUUGUCUUUUUUUUUACCAUGUAUCUCUAUGCUUACAAGAAUUCCCCCAUUUAUAGUAGAGGGAUCCUACUUUAUCUAUAUAAAAAAUAUAUAGUGGAGAACCCAUGAUAAAUUAUUUUUUUCUCGAUUCCUGCCAAAAUUCUCUCCCCUAGUGCGGUUGCAACGGCUCUUGUCUGUGAGCUCAAUACCGGCUCGAGCUCGGUAUUGGAUCGAGCCCUCGGCCUUGGUUCGAUCUCGACUCUGACUCGGAGUCUCGAUAUUCGGGGUGAGUUUUGGUCGGUCUAUGCAUCUUCGAUAAUCUCCGCUUUGCCUCGUAGUUCGAUUUGGAUAUGAGCUCGAUAAUGAUACCGAGCUUGUCGUUGAUUGGUCUUGGAGCUCGAAGCUCGACGCCCUUACUCCGGACCUCGACCCGUCGUCAUGCAGAUACCCUUUGAUCGAAGUAUUAUCACCUCGACCAGUCCGUACGACUGACUUAAUCGGUUUUGACCGUACACAGAGAUCAUAUUGGUAAUCUGGAUUUGGUGCAAAAUAAGAAAGGGGUAUAUAUCUCCAAUUUGUAGUAGGGGAUCUUGGUUUCGUAGAAAUAAAAAAGAAAAAGAAGGGUACAAGAAACACCAUAGAAUACCAUGCAUGUUUUAGUAACUCAAAGUUGCAUUUAAGGUAUAUCCCUAUAUAAUCCUUUGUUAAAAAGUUCAGUCUAUAUUUAGAAAUAUUUUAGCAAAUGUUUUAAAAAAUAUAUAUAAACUACUCACUGCUGAAAUUAGAAUUUCUCAAUAAGGCCUAAUUUACUAUAUGCACCACAAUGUAGACAUUGAUAGCCCCACCUGAUCCUUUGAGUGCUUAUAGUCAUACCCAACUCAAACACAUGAGAUGCAUAAUUUAACAGAAAUAACCCUAAGAAAAUAUAUGCAAAGUAAAUUUAAGAAACAGAAGUAUCUUGAGUUCUUCUUCCACUCACAUGUUGCCUUUGAUGACAAAGGAGUCGUAGAGAAUACAUCUCAUUGCUUCUGAAAGUAUCAAAUCCAUAUGGUGGUGAGAUAAUUUGUUUGAGAUAUUCUCUCUAUACAAGAAGGCUUUACCUCUAAAAUCUGGGAAACUAAAAAGCAAAAGUCUCGUCGUUUCAUUGUGACUUAUAAAUCUUCAAAUUUAAUAUGAAUUGAACAAAAAAAAAUUGAUUAGGGGAAGAAUGAGAAAAAAGGAACAAACAGAAUACCCGAACACACUUAAUUGUCCCCUUAAAAUUCUUCUAGUCUCAGUUUUCGGCUGAUUUAUGGAUGGAAAAUAAUUAAUGAAUAGACAGUUAAAAUUAAGCACUACCAAAAUAUGAUGAAAUGUUCAUAACAAGGUGCUUCUUCGCUAGAGAAUUCUUACCAGCAAUUCACUUCUCCUCGACAGUCUUCACUGUAUUGCUAACUGAAUGGCAUGUAUUGGCAUUGCAAGGUUUAGUACUAUAAGAAGUUUAGUGAAGGCCAACAUAUUAAUCACAAUUUUGCUUCUUCAACGCUUUCGAACCUUUCUUCUCGGACUUGUUCGAUGCAUUGGGGGUUUUCAAUUAUGCUGAGAGAGAUUCAAGAUAAUUCUAAGCGGGAAAACAAAGAAAUCGUUAACUCGUUAACUCUGCCUGGAGGGCUUUCUAUUGUAUACAGGGAAACUAAACAACAACAACAACAACAACCCAGUAACCCAGUACAAUCCCACUAGUGAGGUCUGGGGAGGAUAGUGUGUACGCAGACCUUACCUCUACCAUAAGGUAGAGAGGCUGUUUCCAAAUGACUUUCGGCAUCCUUUCCUCCAAGAACUCCCCACCUUGCUCUUGAGGUGACUCAAACUCACAACCUUUUGGUUGAAAGUGAAAGUUGCGUACCAUCAGAGCAACCCCUCUUGCCAUACAGGAAACUAAAAAAACCAAUAAAACAAAAAAGAGAAGAUUGUUCAAGA